rnacentral:rRNA from 1 species
UCCGGUUGAUCCUGCCGGAGGCGACCGCUUUUGGAGUUCGAUUAAGCCAUGCGAGUCGUGAGCCUUCGGGGCUCGGCAUACUGCUCAGUAACACGUGGAUAACCUGCCCUAUCGUCUGGAAUAACCUCGGGAAACUGAGAACAAGGCCGGAUAGUUCACAAUGCCUGGAACGGUUUGUGAAUCAAGGUAGGAUGGGUCUGCGGCGUAUCAGGUUGUAGGGGGUGUAACGGACCCCCUAGCCAUCGACGCGUACGGGUGUUGGGAGACAUAGCCCGGAGAUGGAUUCUGAGACACGAAUCCAGACCCUACGGGGUGCAGCAGGCGCGAAAACUUCACACUGCAGGAAACUGUGAUGAGGGAACUCCAAGUGUGUGCGUUUUACGUACACUUUUCUGAACUCUUAAUCGGUUCAGGAAGAAGGGCUGGGAAAGACCGGUGCCAGCCGCCGCGGUAAUACCGGCAGCUCAAGUGGUCGUCGCUUUUAUUGGGCCUAAAACGUCCGUAGCCUGUU